GACGAACGCUGGCGGCGUGCUUAACACAUGCAAGUCGAACGGAAAGGCCCUGCUUUUGUGGGGUGCUCGAGUGGCGAACGGGUGAGUAACACGUGAGUAACCUGCCCUUGACUUUGGGAUAACUUCAGGAAACUGGGGCUAAUACCGGAUAGGAGCUCCUGCUGCAUGGUGGGGGUUGGAAAGUUUCGGCGGUUGGGGAUGGACUCGCGGCUUAUCAGCUUGUUGGUGGGGUAGUGGCUUACCAAGGCUUUGACGGGUAGCCGGCCUGAGAGGGUGACCGGCCACAUGGGGACUGAGAUACGGCCCAGACUCCUACGGGAGGCAGCAGUGGGGAAUAUUGCACAGUGGGCGGAAGCCUGAUGCAGCAACGCCGCGUGCGGGAUGACGGCCUUCGGGUUGUAAACCGCUGUCGCCUGUGACGAAGCGUGAGUGACGGUAAUGGGUAAAGAAGCACCGGCUAACUACGUG
rnacentral:rRNA from 1 species